rnacentral:rRNA from 1 species
AGUCGAACGAUGAAGCUCCCAGCUUGCUGGGGGUGGAUUAGUGGCGAACGGGUGAGUAUCACGUGAGUAACCUGCCCUUGACUCUGGGAUAAGCCCGGGAAACUGGGUCUAAUACCGGAUAGGACUCCUCAUCGCAUGGUGGGGGGUUGAAAGAUUUUAUCGGUCUUGGAUGGGCUCGCGGCCUAUCAGCUUGACGGUGGGGUAGUGGCCUACCGUGGCUUUGACGGGUAGCCGGCCUGAGAGGGUGACCGGCCACACUGGGACUGAGACACGGCCCAGACUCCUACGGGAGGCAGCAGCGGGGAAUAUUGCACAAUGGGCGCAAGCCUGAUGCAGCGACGCCGCGUGCGGGAUGACGGCCUUCGGGUUGUAAACCGCUUUCAGUACAGAAGAAGCCCUUUUUGGGUGACGGUAUGUGCAGAAGAAGCGCCGGCUAACUACGUGCCAGCAGCCGCGGUAAUACGUAGGGCGCGAGCGUUAUCCGGAAUUAUUGGGCGUAAAGAGCUUGUAGGCGGUUUGUCACGUCUGCUGUGAAAGCCCGGGGCUUAACUCCGGGUGUGCAGUGGGUACGGGCAGGCUAGAGUGCAGUAGGGGAGACUGGAAUUCCUGGUGUAGCGGUGAAAUGCGCAGAUAUCAGGAGGAACACCGAUGGCGAAGGCAGGUCUCUGGGCUGUUACUGACGCCGAGAAGCGAAAGCAUGGGUAGCGAACAGGAUUAGAUACCCUGGUAGUCCAUGCCGUAAACGUUGGGCACUAGGUGUGGGGGACAUUCCACGUUUUCCGCGCCGUAGCUAACGCAUUAAGUGCCCCGCCUGGGGAGUACGGCCGCAAGGCUAAAACUCAAAGGAAUUGACGG